UUCCCACAGGCCAUGCUGCUCAGAGCCCGAGGAUGGGAACUUCUGCGCGGGCCCUUGGAGGGUAGAGCUGGUGCUGGCUCACUUGUCUCCAGGUCCCGUCGUCGCCCUCCCAGGCGCUCCCUCCCGGCACUUCCCGGGCUUUGGGCACCCUUGCUUCCCUCUUUUCAAAGGACCCUGUGCUCUCGGACCCUGCGCAGGAUUCCAGAGCUUGCACACUCCCUAGCCGGAGCAGCCGCUUGCCCGCCCCACAAGUGCGGCUCUCCGCGCCACGCUCCCUCCUGCUAGGGCUCCAAGUGCCGACUUGCAGAGGCCUCGGGAGUGACAGUGGAACAGAGGGUGGCACCGGCACCAGAAAGCACCCCCCGAGCCUAGAUUUCUACCUUCAGAAACUCCGACAGUGGGGACCCGGGGCGUGGCGGGGCUGCUCAGUGCGUCCCAGCUCCUCCUCGGUGCCCAAGGAGGCUGCCACUGUGGCCGUGAGUCCAGGAGAGGCCUCCCAACCCUGGCCUGUGGAUGCAUCGACCCCUUUCACCGCGCCUGACGUGAGUACUCCUGCCCCUUCACGGGCCAACAGGAGCGAGGUCGGCCCUGCCUCAAAGGGCCUGUGAUCC
rnacentral:lncRNA from 1 species